rnacentral:lncRNA from 1 species
AGAGGAGAAGCUACAAGGAUGCAUUCGAUGUUGAACUAAGCGAGCACGAGUUAACGCUGCGGUCCGCGUUGGGUUUGAAAGGUGAUGGAUCCUCGUAAUGAUUGCGAACGUUUCAGUUAUAGAAUUGUUCCACUUUACUAAGUCGGAUUCGUUUGGAAUCCAUUAACGCUAACCGGCCAUGUCUUGCCUUGGGCACAAAGAAAUCGCCA